rnacentral:rRNA from 1 species
UGGGGAAUAUUGGACAAUGGGCGCAAGCCUGAUCCAGCCAUGCCGCGUGAGUGACGAAGGUCUUCGGAUUGUAAAAACUCUUUUGGCGGGGACGAUAAUGACGGUACCCGCAGAAUAAGCCCCGGCUAACUUCGUGCCAGCAGCCGCGGUAAUACGAAGGGGGCUAGCGUUGUUCGGAAUCACUGGGCGUAAAGCGCACGUAGGCGGAUGUGUCAGUCAGGGGUGAAAUCCCGGAGCUCAACUCUGGAACUGCAUUGGAAACUACAUGGCUUGAGUACCGGAGAGGUGAGGGGAAUUCUCGGUGUAAGGGUGAAAUCUGUAGAUAUCGAGAGGAACACCAGUGGCGAAGGCGCCUCACUGGCCGGUAACUGACACUGAGCUGCGAAAGCAAGGGGAGCAAACAGGAUUAGAUACCCUUGUAGUCCCUGAGCGGGCUGGCAAGGCGCAU